rnacentral:rRNA from 1 species
UACGAAGGGGGCUAGCGUUGCUCGGAAUCACUGGGCGUAAAGCGCACGUAGGCGGCUUUUUAAGUCAGGGGUGAAAUCCUGGAGCUCAACUCCAGAACUGCCUUUGAUACUGAGAAGCUUGAGUCCGGGAGAGGUGAGUGGAACUGCGAGUGUAGAGGUGAAAUUCGUAGAUAUCGGGAGGAACACCAGUGGCGAAGGCGGAGACCUGGGGAGAUAUUGACGCUGAGGUGCGAAAGCGUGGGGAGCAAACAGG